AGAUUGAACGCUGGCGGCAGGCCUAACACAUGCAAGUCGAGCGGUAGAGAGGUGCUUGCACCUCUUGAGAGCGGCGGACGGGUGAGUAAUGCCUAGGAAUCUGCCUAGUGGGUGGGGGAUAACGUUCGGAAACGGACGCUAAUACCGCAUACGUCCUACGGGAGAAAGGCGGGGGACCUUCGGGCCUCGCGCCAUUAGAUGAGCCGUAGGUCGGAUUAGCUUAGUUGGUGAGGUAAUGGCUCACCAAGGCGACGAUCCGUAACUGGUCUGAGAGGAUGAUCAGUCACACUGGAACUGGAGACACGGUCCAGACCUCCGUACGGGAGGCAGCAGGUGGGAAUAGUUGGAUAAGUGGGACGAAAGCCUAGACUCCAGCCAGUGCCGCGUGUGUAGAAGGUA
rnacentral:rRNA from 1 species